CCCUAAGUCACCCAUUCUUCCCCCCUAUCUCUCUCUCUUUCUCACUCUCCCCCCCUUCUUUCUCUAUCUCUCUGAACUCCAGCUGUCAACCCCUCCGCCUUUGUCUCCAUCUCCGUCUCCAGUCAUCAUUCUCGUCUUCGGUCGUCCUUGUCGCGUUCUGUUGUUCGAUUCUAAAAGUUGCUGGCGUGGGAAUCAACGGCAAGUUCUGUUUACAAAUCUAAGAAGAAAGUGGACACCGUGAUAGGGAAGGAGAACCUUACUCCUUUCACAUUUUUGGAAGAGGCUCAAAAGGUUUUACAGGACUUGUUUACCCAGUAUCCCCCAGAAGAUCGAGAUUUGGUUGAUUCGAUAGUUGCAGUAUGCAGUGGACAAACUGAAAGAUUACAAGAAAAAAGCGAUGAUUUUUUUCUAAAGCCAUUAAUGAACAAGGAUGACAUUGUGAAAAAGUUGGAUUUGCUUGCUUCAAGUGUAUAAAAGACCCCAAACUUGAAAUAGGUUUGGUGACUUGUGUUGCUGAAUUUUUUAAUAUAUCCUUGGUUGUAUUUACUUGUUUAAAAUUUUAUUUUUCUAUUGGAAUUAUUUUAGGGACACAAUAUUUUUGUAAUUUGUGUUGGAAUGAUAGUUUCUUGUGUUUGAUCCUUCUCAGAUUACUCAAGGAAGGGCUCGGCUUCCUAUUACAUCUUUCAGGGAUGUGAUUACAUCAACAAUAAAAUCUUAUCAG